rnacentral:rRNA from 1 species
AUUGAACGCUGGCGGCAUGCUUUACACAUGCAAGUCGGACGGCAGCACAGAGAAGCUUGCUUCUUGGGUGGCGAGUGGCGAACGGGUGAGUAAUAUAUCGGAACGUACCGAGUAAUGGGGGAUAACUAAUCGAAAGAUUAGCUAAUACCGCACAUUCUCUGAGGAGGAAAGCAGGGGACCUUCGGGCCUUGCGUUAUUCGAGCGGCCGAUAUCUGAUUAGCUAGUUGGUGGGGUAAAGGCCUACCAAGGCGACGAUCAGUAGCGGGUCUGAGAGGAUGAUCCGCCACACUGGGACUGAGACACGGCCCAGACUCCUACGGGAGGCAGCAGUGGGGAAUUUUGGACAAUGGGCGCAAGCCUGAUCCAGCCAUGCCGCGUGUCUGAAGAAGGCCUUCGGGUUGUAAAGGACUUUUGUCAGGGAAGAAAAGGCUGUUGCUAAUAUCGACAGCGGAUGACGGUACCUGAAGAAUAAGCACCGGCUAACUACGUGCCAGCAGCCGCGGUAAUACGUAGGGUGCGAGCGUUAAUCGGAAUUACUGGGCGUAAAGCGAGCGCAGACGGUUACUUAAGCAGGAUGUGAAAUCCCCGGGCUCAACCUGGGAACUGCGUUCUGAACUGGGUGACUAGAGUGUGUCAGAGGGAGGUAGAAUUCCACGUGUAGCAGUGAAAUGCGUAGAGAUGUGGAGGAAUACCGAUGGCGAAGGCAGCCUCCUGGGAUAACACUGACGUUCAUGCUCGAAAGCGUGGGUAGCAAACAGG